GAUGAACGCUGGCGGCGUGCCUAACACAUGCAAGUCGAACGAACCUAAUCUUCGGAAAGGGUUAGUGGCGCACGGGUGAGUAACACGUAGGUGACCUGCCCCGAAGUGGGGGAUAACUUCUCGAAAGAGAAGCUAAUACCGCAUAUGCUCAGCCAUUCAGUUGGUUGAGUAAAGCUCCGGCGCUUCGGGAGGGGCCUGCGUCCGAUUAGCUAGUUGGUGGGGUAAUGGCCUACCAAGGCGAUGAUCGGUAGCUGGUCUGAGAGGACGAUCAGCCACACUGGCACUGACACACGGGCCAGACUCCUACGGGAGGCAGCAGUGAGGAAUAUUGGUCAAUGGGCGAAAGCCUGAACCAGCAACGCCGCGUGAGGGAUGAAGGCCU
rnacentral:rRNA from 1 species